UGGGAGUGUUCUCACCCUUGAGCUCAGU
rnacentral:piRNA from 1 species